GGCCGCCCGCUCCGGAACACGGCGGCAGCUCAUCUGAAUUCAAAUUACCCCGGGAGCCGCGCGAUGCCAGCCAUAACUCAGCCUGCGGAGGAGUGCGGCCGCCGCGGAUCGGACGUUACCAUACAUUCCCGGGGCGUCGGACAGGGCUGCUAAUGAAAAUAUCAAUCAAAAACUUGCCUGACUUAAUGGUCAAUUUAAAUUAAUUAAUUGGGGAGGAGAAAAAAGUUGAGGAGGGUGGCGUUGAUGGGCUCCCUCUCUGGCGGGCGGGGAGAAGUGGGUGCCCGGCUGGGCACAGCCCCCAGGCCAGGAGAUGGGGCCAAGCCUCCCCCGGGACCCUGGGGCAUACCUGAGGGCCCAGGGGCCAUGCCUGCCUGGGGCGGGUGUGAGGCCUGAGAUUCCCGUCCCACAUUUCUGGGCAGGCUGUGGGUGGCCUGUCCUACUCCAGCUGUGUCGUCUGCAGGGACCACUGGUGGCCAGGUGCCCCCUCCCUGAGGCAUAGAAGAGCCCCUUGCUCAGUGGGGCCAGGGAGGGCUGGCAUUGUGGGCAUGGGCAUGGGCCACGACUGGCUCAGGUCCCUGGGCCUCAUCUUGUCUGUGACACAGUGGCCAUGUCCACUGCCCAGCACUUCGCAGGGCCCACGGCAGGCAGGGUGGGGCUGGACGCAGGGCUCACCAGGGAUGCCCCCAGGUCAGGCGCUGUGUCAAGGGAGACACAGGUAUCCCUGCUUCAUAGUGGAGAAACUGAGGCUCUGAGGGGGACUGGUGCUUCAAGAGGCAGAAAGCGCCGUGACCCCCCGAACCACAAAUGUGACAGUGCGGAGGCUGACGGGUCAUCCAGGAGUGAGACGGAGAAAGGAACAAGGCCGGACCUUACCCCAAGCUGAGCCCAAGUGACUACAGCUGCAUGGAGCAUGAACAGACGGUGGCCGUCACGAGCCGUCCACGUGGGCUUUCCUUCCA
rnacentral:lncRNA from 1 species